rnacentral:rRNA from 1 species
GACGAACCGUGCGAACGUUGUUCGGAAUCACUGGGCUUAAAGGGCGCGUAGGCGGCUUGCCAAGUCAGGGGUGAAAUCCAGCAGCUUAACUGUUGAAGUGCCUUUGAUACUGGCGAGCUCGAGGGAGGUAGGGGUAUGCGGAACUUCUGGUGGAGCGGUGAAAUGCGUUGAUAUCAGAAGGAACGCCGGUGGCGAAAGCGGCGUACUGGACCUCUUCUGACGCUGAGGCGCGAAAGCUAGGGGAGCGAACAGG